CCUACGGGAGGCUGCAGUGGGGAAUAUUGGACAAUGGGGGGAACCCUGAUCCAGCCAUGCCGCGUGUGUGAAGAAGGCCCUCAGGUUGUAAAGCACUUUCAGUGAGGAAGAACGCCUGGUGGUUAAUACCCAUCAGGAAAGACAUCACUCACAGAAGAAGCACCGGCUAACUCCGUGCCAGCAGCCGCAGUAAUACGGAGGGUGCGAGCGUUAAUCGGAAUUACUGGGCGUAAAGCGCGCGUAGGUGGCUUGAUAAGCCGGUUGUGAAAGCCCCGGGCUCAACCUGGGAACGGCAUCCGGAACUGUCAAGCUAGAGUGCAGGAGAGGAAGGUAGAAUUCCCGGUGUAGCGGUGAAAUGCGUAGAGAUCGGGAGGAAUACCAGUGGCGAAGGCGGCCUUCUGGACUGACACUGACACUGAGGUGCGAAAGCGUGGGUAGCAAACAGGAUUAGAUACCCGAGUAGUC
rnacentral:rRNA from 1 species